CCUGAUUUAUUGGGUUUAAAGGGUGCCCACGCGGAUUUAUAAGUCAGGGGUGAAAAAUUACUGCUUAACUGUAAUCGUGCCUUUGAUACUGUCGGACUACCAUUUACGGCUGGUAACUGGAAUGUGAUAUGUACGCCCUCCUUGCUUUCGACCACAUGGGAAAGCUCCCAUGCCGUUGGAGUUACGAACUUAAUACUGACGCUGUCACCUAAAAGCGUGGGGAUCAAACUGGAUUAAAUACCCUGGUGAUCCACGCUGUAAACGAUGAUCACUCGUUGUUGGAUGGUAACAUUCAGUGGCUAAGCGAAAGCGAUAAGUGAUCCACCUGGGGAGUACGAUCGCAAGGUUGAAACUCAAAGGAAUUGACGGGGGCCCGCACAAGCGGAGGAACAUGUGGUUUAAUUCGAUGAUACGCGAGGAACCUUACCCGGGCUUGAACGUAAAACGAAUAAUGUGGAAACACAUUAUCCUACGGGCGUCUUGCGAGGUGCUGCAUGGUUGUCGUCAGCUCGUGCCGUGAGGUGUUAGGUUAAGUCCUGCAACGAGCGCAACCCUUAUCGUUAGUUACCAGCACGUUAAGGUGGGAACUCUAAAGAAACUGCCUACGCAAGUAGAGAGGAAGGUGGGGAUGACGUCAAAUCAGCACGGCCCUUAUGUUCGGGGCUACACACGUGCUACAAUGGCAUGUACAGAGGGCAGCUACACCGCGAGGUGAUGCUAAUCUCUAAAGCAUGUCUCAGUUCGGAUCGAGUCUGUAACUCGACUCUAUGAAGUUGGAUUCGCUAGUAAUCGCGCAUCAGC
rnacentral:rRNA from 1 species